AAAGACUUCGCCCGCAUUUGAGCGAAGGACGUCAAAUGCGGGCCAUGGAAGGAC
rnacentral:sRNA from 1 species